UCCAUACCAACAUGCUAUUUAGUACGCUAAAACAGUAUGUGUGAGAUUUAGUAUGUCCGAAACCUUAGUACGAAACCAAUGUUUCAUAAUGAAUUGCAUACUAUGUCCGGUGAAAUAUUACAGUAUGCAACACUGGAUACUACGGCGGCAUAAAUAUCCCACAAUGCAAUGCAGUAGCGACGACAACGUUCAUUACAGACAUUGACGGACAGCUCUGUAACGUCAAUAACACUUCAAUUAAUGUAGCCAACUGCAAUAUUCAUGAGGACCUAUUAUGAAACACUGGAAAAUGGAGUUCAUAUCAAAGAGGACGGAGGAGGAGGAAAAAUAAAUAUCGAAGAGAGGGAAGUUCGUCCCAAAGUGGCCACUGUAUUUAUACCCUCCACCUUAAAGAAGGGUGUCUCACUGAGCUGUGAGUGUGACUACAAACGAAGUUCACUCUGCCACGGAGAGGGAGGGUGUAUAGGAACCGAAUUGGAAUUGGGCCAUAGUCUGGAAAUGUUGAAGCACCAUGAGUGAAUCCCUCAGCUGCAGGAGGUGCAGCUGACCCUGACCUUUGACCUCCCACCAUACAAGGAACACUGCCAAAACCUGGAAAUGUUUGUUUCCUCUCAAAUGUUAAAUACAACAACAACCCACGCAUUUAUGAUUUGUUGUGGAAGACUAAGUCCUCAAAGUAACAAUAUAAAGCAGCUGUUUGGAGAACUAAGUGUGGACAAGGUUGCAUAUAUUCACAAGCUGCUGGACAAAAUGUUAUGACUCAAACUUGU